rnacentral:tRNA from 1 species
GUGGAUGUAGCUCAGCUGGUAGAGCGCGGGAUUGUGGUUCCCGAUGUCGAGGGUUCGAACCCCUUCAUCCACC